rnacentral:misc_RNA from 1 species
GACGAAGAACGUAGCGAAAUGCGAUAAGUAAUGUGAAUUGCAGAAUUCAGUGAAUCAUCGAAUCUUUGAACGCACAUUGCGCCCGCCAGUAUUCUGGCGGGCAUGCCUGUCCGAGCGUCAUUUCAACCCUCGAACCCCUCCGGGGGGUCGGCGUUGGGGAUCGGCCCUUUACCGGCCGGCCCCGAAAUACAGUGGCGGUCUCGCCGCAGCCUCUCCUGCGCAGUAGUUUGCACACUCGCACCGGGAGCGCGGCGCAGUCCAAUGCCGUAAAACACCCAACUUUCUGAAAUGUUGACCUCGGAUCAGGUAGGAAUACCCGCUGAACUUAAGCAUAUCAAUAAGCGGAGGA